rnacentral:misc_RNA from 1 species
UACGUAGGGUGCAAGCGUUGUCCGGAAUUACUGGGCGUAAAGAGCUCGUAGGCGGUUUGUCACGUCGUCUGUGAAAUCCUCCAGCUCAACUGGGGGCGUGCAGGCGAUACGGGCAGACUUGAGUACUACAGGGGAGACUGGAAUUCCUGGUGUAGCGGUGAAAUGCGCAGAUAUCAGGAGGAACACCGGUGGCGAAGGCGGGUCUCUGGGUAGUAACUGACGCUGAGGAGCGAAAGCAUGGGGAGCGAACAGG